UACAGAGGGGGCUAGCGUUGUUCGGAAUUACUGGGCGUAAAGCGCACGUAGGCGGACCAGAAAGUUGGGGGUGAAAUCCCGGGGCUCAACCUCGGAACUGCCUUCAAAACUAUUGGUCUUGAGUUCGAGAGAGGUGAGUGGAAUUCCGAGUGUAGAGGUGAAAUUCGUAGAUAUUCGGAGGAACACCAGUGGCGAAGGCGGCUCACUGGCUCGAUACUGACGCUGAGGUGCGAAAGCGUGGGGAGCAAACAGG
rnacentral:rRNA from 1 species